rnacentral:rRNA from 1 species
CUUAGGUCAGCGGCGGACGGGUGAGUAACACGUGGGUAACCUGCCUGUAAGACUGGGAUAACUCCGGGAAAACCGGGGCCUAAUACCGGRAUGCUUGRAUUGAAACCGCAUGGGUUCAAUCAUAAAAAGGUGGGCUUUUUAGCUUACCACUUUACAGRAUGGRACCCGSCGGSCGCMAUUUAGCUUAGUUUGGGUGGAGGUUAACGGGCUUCACCAAAGGGCGRACGRAUGCCGUUAGCCCGAACCCUGGAGAAGGGGGUGAAUCCGGGCCCACCACUUGGGGGAACUUGGAGNACCACGGGGCCCCAAGAACUUCCCUUACGGGGGGAGGGCMAGGCNAGGUUAAGGGGGAAAUUCCUUUUCCCCGCCAAAAUGGGGAACCGGAAAAAAGKUCCUUGGAACGGGGAAGCCAAAACGGCCCCGGCCGKUGGGAGGUUGGAAUUGGAAAAGGGGUUUUUUUUUCCGGGGAAUUCCGGGUUAAAAAAAACCUUCCCUUGGUU